GUUACCAGGUAUGACUUGAACAGAGAGCGCUGCAGUCCCAAACUCUCCUGUGACCGAAUCCACGGCUCUGAGCUGCAGCCACAACAUUUACAGUCACAACAAGAUGGAGCAAAGAGUCUCCUGGCAGCAACGAGCUGGAAUGUACUCCUCUACAUUGGCCAUAACGGUGGAUCCGUGGGUCACCUGAAGGGCGAAGGACUCCGUCUUCACCACUCUCUUCAGGAUCACGAAGCCGUCGGGAGUCACGUUGACGUAGCUGCUGUA